rnacentral:rRNA from 1 species
AUACGAAGGGCCCGAGCGUUGCGCGGAAUCACUGGGCUUAAAGCGUGCGUAGGCGGACAAGCAGGCAUCUUGUGAAAUCCCUCGGCUCAACCGAGGAAUUGCUUGGUGAACCGCUUGUCUUGAGGCGAGUAGGGGCUGUCGGAACGAUAGGUGGAGCGGUGAAAUGCGUUGAUAUCGGAAGGAACGCCGGUGGCGAAAGCGACAUGCUGGAUCUCUUCUGACGCUGAGGCGCGAAAGCUAGGGGAGCGAACGGGAUUAGAAACCCCGGUAGUCC